rfam:Manacus vitellinus contig16757, whole genome shotgun sequence.
GUCUCUGUGGCGCAAUUGGUAAGCGCGUUCGGCUGUUAACCGAAAGGUUGGUGGUUCAAGCCCACCCAGGGACG